UACGGGGGGAGCAAGCGUUGUUCGGAUUUACUGGGCGCAAAGGGCGCGUAGGCGGCCAGCGCAAGUCAGUUGUGAAAUCCCCGGGCUCAACCUGGGAACUGCAUUUGUGACUGUAGAGCUGGAGUGCGGCAGAGGGGGAUGGAAUUCCGCGUGUAGCAGUGAAAUGCGUAGAUAUGCGGAGGAACACCGAUGGCGAAGGCAAUCCCCUGGGCCCGCACUGACGCUCAUGCACGAAAGCGUGGGGAGCAAACAGG
rnacentral:rRNA from 1 species